GGGCAUUUGAGACAAAUAAUGUGCGUUGUCACAGGUUACGAAUGCGCGCAGUUGGAACUCCGAAAAGGCUUAUAAGAGAGGAAAGCCCUAGCAGUCUUAGCUAUUAAUUACAUCAUCUUACACAGCAGAAUAAAGCAAAACGUCAAGAAUGAAGGGAUACACCUGUCUGAUUCUGUUGAUGUGCCUGAGCUGCGUCUUUGCCAUGGCACUUCGUCAAGAGAGAUCACUUGAUGAUGAACUGGUUGAAUAUCUGCGUGACUUGUUGCAAAGGGAAGGGGGACGGUGUGCCGUCGCUUCAGAUUGCCCUUCGGGUUAUUCUUGUCACCCUGCGGCUUACUGCGUCAAAAACAAACGCCGCAAGUAACAGGCAAAACCAAGAUGGAGACCCACACGCCCAAACGGCCCCAAAUUGUCGACGCGGAAUCGAAUCCUGAACCAAGUUACAUUAUGACACUCUUUCAAAUUUGGCUGAAUGAAUGUCACAGUGCACGAUCCAUGUAGGGUAGAGGGCAGCGCUUAUAAUCAGUUGCUGGUUGUAGUUAAGACACUAUACCGUAUACGUUUACUUUAUAAUAGUAAGAAUCUGAAAACACUAGUCUAGUUAAAUUUUGAAUAGAAUACAAAAAGGUAACUGUUCUUUAAUAAGCAAAACAAAAACAACUCUUAUGUAUGUGAAUUGUUUUCGUUUUGCUGAAUGAAUUAACACUUAUCUUUUUUGUGAUCCGUGGAACUUUAAAACGGUGUUUGUGUUCAAAACUCCGUAAGGUGUAGAUUGAGAAAUAGUCGGUCUUUAAUGUAAUAAAUGAUUUCAUCGAAGACAAAAAAAAAUGAAACAAUUUUAAUUAUUUGUUUUCUGAAUGUUGCACUUUUUUGGCACACCUCUGUAUUGGUCACAAGUCAUUAGGUCCAGUCACAAG